rnacentral:rRNA from 1 species
AUUGAACGCUGGCGGCAGGCUUAACACAUGCAAGUCGAGCGGGGGAAGGUAGCUUGCUACCGGACCUAGCGGCGGACGGGUGAGUAAUGCUUAGGAAUCUGCCUAUUAGUGGGGGACAACAUCUCGAAAGGGAUGCUAAUACCGCAUACGUCCUACGGGAGAAAGCAGGGGAUCUUCGGACCUUGCGCUAAUAGAUGAGCCUAAGUCGGAUUAGCUAGUUGGUGGGGUAAAGGCCUACCAAGGCGACGAUCUGUAGCGGGUCUGAGAGGAUGAUCCGCCACACUGGGACUGAGACACGGCCCAGAGUCCUACGGGAGGAAGCAGUGGGGAAUAUUGGACAAUGGGGGGAACCCUGAUCCAGCCAUGCCGCGUGUGUGAAGAAGGCCUUAUGGUUGUAAAGCACUUUAAGCGAGGAGGAGGCUACUUUAGUUAAUACCUAGAGAUAGUGGACGUUACUCGCAGAAUAAGCACCGGCUAACUCUGUGCCAGCCGCCGCGGUAA